rnacentral:rRNA from 1 species
CCUACGGGAGGCAGCAGUCGAGAAUCAUUCACAAUGGGGGAAACCCUGAUGGUGCGACGCCGCGUGGGGGAAUGAAGGUCUUCGGAUUGUAAACCCCUUUCAUGUGGGAGCAAAUUAAAAAGAUAGUACCCCAAGAGGAAGAGACGGCUAACUCUGUGCCAGCAGCCGCGGUAAUACAGAGGUCUCAAGCGUUGUUCGGAAUCACUGGGCGUAAAGCGUGCGUAGGCUGUUUCGUAAGUCGUGUGUGAAAGGCGCGGGCUCAAGCCGCGGACGGCACAUGAGACUGCGAGACUAGAGUAAUGGAGGGGGAACCGGAAUGCUCGGUGUAGCAGUGAAAUGCGUAGAUAUCGAGAGGAACACUCGUGGCGAAGGCGGGUUCCUGGACAUUAACUGACGCUGAGGCACGAAGGCGAGGGGAGCGAAAGGGAUUAGAUACCCUUGUAGUC